GCCCAUGGUGGGCCGUGCAGGGAGACUUUUGGGUCUGCCGGCUUUCUAUCUCACCGGUUCGCCAAUCCUGCACGGCCUGCCUCCGCU
rnacentral:antisense_RNA from 1 species